UCCCUAGUGGCUCAGUUGGUAAAGAAUUUGCCUGCAAUAUAGGAGACCCAGGUUCGAUCCCUGGAUUGGGAA
rfam:Ovis aries breed Texel chromosome 8, whole genome shotgun sequence.